rnacentral:rRNA from 1 species
GGGAAUUUUGGACAAUGGGGGCAACCCUGAUCCAGCCAUGCCGCGUGCGGGAAGAAGGCCUUCGGGUUGUAAACCGCUUUUAUUCGGAAAGAAGGAGUGAGGGUGAAUACCCCUCAUGACGGACGGUACCGGAUGAAUAAGCACCGGCUAACUACGUGCCAGCAGCCGCGGUAAUACGUAGGGUGCGAGCGUUAAUCGGAAUUACUGGGCGUAAAGCGUGCGUAGGCGGUUGGCAAAGUCAGCUGUGAAAGCCCCGGGCUUAACCUGGGAAUGGCGGUUGAAACUAGUCGACUCGAAUCUGGCAGAGGGGGGUGGAAUUCCACGUGUAGCAGUGAAAUGCGUAGAGAUGUGGAGGAACACCGAUGGCGAAGGCAGCCCCCUGGGCUGAGAUUGACGCUCAGGCACGAAAGCGUGGGGAGCAA